GAUGAACGCUGGCGGCGUGCUUAACACAUGCAAGUCGAACGAAGCAUUUAGGACAGUUUACUUCGGUUUGAAGUUCUUUAUGACUGAGUGGCGGACGGGUGAGUAACGCGUGGGUAACCUGCCUUGUACUGGGGGAUAGCAGCUGGAAACGGCUGGUAAUACCGCAUAAGCGCACAAUGUUGCAUGACAUGGUGUGAAAAACUCCGGUGGUAUAAGAUGGACCCGCGUCUGAUUAGCUAGUUGGUGAGAUAACAGCCCACCAAGGCGACGAUCAGUAGCCGACCUGAGAGGGUGACCGGCCACAUUGGGACUGAGACACGGCCCAGACUCCUACGGGAGGCAGCAGUGGGGAAUAUUGCACAAUGGAGGAAACUCUGAUGCAGCGACGCCGCGUGAGUGAAGAAGUAAUUCGUUAUGUAAAGCUCUAUCAGCAGGGAAGAUAGUGACGGUACCUGACUAAGAAGCUCCGGCUAAAUACGUG
rnacentral:rRNA from 1 species